rnacentral:lncRNA from 15 species
UAAGUGUUAAUGCAACAUGGAUUUGUUCACACAUUUACCCUAGAAAAAAUAAUCUUUACAUUUCUUGUAUGUUUAGGACAUAUGAUCAAAUAGUGAUUUCAUCUCUCUUGCAGAGAAGUCAGAUCAACUUUUGAUUGUUAUUUUCAUGCUAAUGGAAUGAUAUGCGUAAUUAGUGAUCAUGAAUGUACUGGAGAGGCAAAAUCUUGCCCUCCGUUGUCAAUGCAAAAUGUUAAGUGGAAUCAUACACCUACUGUGUGGACACUGAUGAAGAGCCAGGAAUAAAUAUGAAUGUGUUCUUUGAAAUGUAUGCAAUAUAUCACUUAUAUUUAUAUAUAACCAAUAAUACAAAUGUGUUUGCAGUGUCAUUUGAAAGAGUAAUGCAUGGCCAGCAAUGUGAAUAUAAAACAUAUACACCAACUUUUACAGGGUUGUGUCAGCUUUCAAGCAGGUAGUGCACUCAGGUCAAAGGUGAAGAACUCCAAAUUGGAUGAGACGGGUGUUUUUGGCAUAUCCUAUAAGCAUGAAGAUCCACGUCGCUUUCUUAGUCUGAAGAGAGGUGAAAGCCUUUCGAAUGCUGUCUACCUGCUAAAGGAACUGCAAGAACAGUUUGGGACAAGCAAAACAAUUGUCUUCAUGUAUGAUAUUGCUUGCAGAUUAAAACCUCACUUGCAGGUAAUUUUUUUAUGCAUCUUUUAUUGCUUGUCUUCCAAUAUCUAUAUAGGUAUUCUUGACAAGCCAAACUACUACUUCUCAGUCUAUACAUAUAUGUAUAUAUAAGGCAUAUACUGUACUGUAUAUGUAUGUGUAUAAUUUAUUAUUUCUGUUUCCCACAGAAGUUUUAUCCAGAUCUUCUGACAAAGAAGCUGACAUUUGCUGUUCCUGCGUUCCAUGCUUAUGGACAUGAUGUUGCUUGUCAGGUUGUCAUCAUAAUCUUUUGACUGUUAAAAGCUAUGCUAGGCAGUUUAUCACUUAUUGAAAUGAUAAACUUCUGAUUUUGUUUUGAUUCUGUUUUGUAGAUUUCAUACAGCUGUAGGAAUGUUGAAGGUGCAGGUUUAGCUGAUGGGGAACAGCUGGAACGACUGUGGUCAUACCUACGCCGUUUUGUAAGGUGAAUAUAAUGUCUUCUUUAUUAAAUCCAUUUAAAGCAAAAGCCCUGGCUCUCAAAGCUGCAAAGGUCAACUCAGUUGAGGAUGAGGCAGAUGCAGAGAUGGCUGAAAUCAUGAAACAUACAGGCAAAACACAAAAUGCAUUGUAGGUUGAAAAAAAAGUGCAGAAAAAGAGAAAAGUA